CUGCAUGGAGAAUGAGGGGCUUUUGGGGGCAGUUGUGUUUGAGGUUGAACAUCAUAAUGCCCCUAAAAAUCCUUAUUGCUCUUGCA
rnacentral:pre_miRNA from 1 species